AUACGGAGGGUGCAAGCGUUAAUCGGAAUUACUGGGCGUAAAGCGCUCGUAGGCGGCUUGUUAAGUCGGAUGUGAAAGCCCCGGGCUCAACCUGGGAACUGCAUUCGAUACUGGCAGGCUAGAGUAUAGUAGAGGCAAGUGGAAUUCCGGGUGUAGCGGUGAAAUGCGUAGAUAUCCGGAGGAACAUCAGUGGCGAAGGCGACUUGCUGGACUAAUACUGACGCUGAGGAGCGAAAGCGUGGGGAGCAAACGGAAUUAGAUACCCGAGUAGUCC
rnacentral:rRNA from 1 species